UACGUAGGUGGCAAGCGUUGUCCGGAUUUACUGGGCGUAAAGAGCGCGCAGGCGGUCGUUCAAGUCGCGUGUGAAAGCCCCCGGCUCAACUGGGCGGGGUCGGCGGAUACGGCGUAGCUGGAGCAAGCUAGGGGGCAAUGGAAUUCCCGGUGUAGUGGUGGAAUGCGUAGAUAUCGGGAGGAACACCAGUGGCGAAGGCGGUUGCCUGGAGCUUUGCUGACGCUGAGGCGCGAAAGCGUGGGGAGCGAUCCGG
rnacentral:rRNA from 1 species